rnacentral:rRNA from 1 species
AACGAACGCUGGCGGCAUGCCUAACACAUGCAAGUCGAACGAGACCUUCGGGUCUAGUGGCGCACGGGUGCGUAACGCGUGGGAACCUGCCCUUAGGUUCGGAAUAACUCCCCGAAAGGGGUGCUAAUACCGGAUAAUGUCUUCGGACCAAAGAUUUAUCGCCUUUGGAUGGGCCCGCGUUGGAUUAGCUAGUUGGUAGGGUAAAAGCCUACCAAGGCGACGAUCCAUAGCUGGUCUGAGAGGAUGAUCAGCCACACUGGGACUGAGACCCGGCCCAGACUCCUACGGGAGGCAGCAGUGGGGAAUAUUGGACAAUGGGCGAAAGCCUGAUCCAGCAAUGCCGCGUGAGUGAUGAAGGCCUUAGGGUUGUAAAGCUCUUUUACCCGGGAUGAUAAUGACAGUACCGGGAGAAUAAGCUCCGGCUAACUCCGU